rnacentral:misc_RNA from 1 species
GAUGAAGAACGCAGUGAAAUGCGAUACGUAAUGUGAAUUGCAGAAUUCAGUGAAUCAUCGAGUCUUUGAACGCACAUUGCGCCCCCUGGUAUUCCGGGGGGCAUGCCUGUCCGAGCGUCAUUGCUGCCCUCAAGCACGGCUUGUGUGUUGGGCCUCCGUCCUCCUCCCGGGGGACGGGCCCGAAAGGCAGCGGCGGCACCGCGUCCGGUCCUCGAGCGUAUGGGCUUCGUCACCCGCUCUUGUAGGCCCGGCCGGCGCUUGCCGACACAUCAAUCUUUUUUCCAGGUUGACCUCGGAUCAGGUAGGGAUACCCGCUGAACUUAAGCAUAUCAAUAAGCGGAGGA